CUGACAUGUUCCAGAUAGUGACCAGCAUGAGUCCUAGAGGGAGAAGAACACAGAGCAGAACACCUGGCCAGCCUGCAAUGAACCUACAUUUGUAAAAGCGCCCUGAGAAGAAAAACGCUUGAAAUCACUGUCCUAGAGAAGGUGUCAGCCAACUCCGGUCUGCAGGCAAGAGAACAAGAGUCAACCAUGUGCACCCCGGAAGACAGCCCUCGCCAGAACCUGACCAUGCCAGCACCUUGAUCUCAGAUUCCUGGUCUCCAGAACUGUGAGAAACAAAUAUUUGUUCAUAAGCCACCUGGUCAAUGGCCCUUUGCCGAAGCAGCCCAAACUGACU